GGGGCUGUGGCGCAGCUGGGAGCGCGUCUGACUGGCAGUCAGAAGGUCAGGGGUUCGAUCCCCCUCAGCUCCACCA
rnacentral:tRNA from 1 species